UUUAAGCUUUAUAUUCACAUAUUUUUUUAAAAAUAAAUACUAAAUAAACAAAUAAUGAAGAAUAAUGUAUGUGGAAACAACUUAAGGUGUCACGUCUGGAUUUUGGGACCCUUUUUUUUUAUUUUUGCUUUGCUUAAUUUGUCCUUUUUCCUCUUUGUUAUUAUUCAUUUUUAUUUUUUUUUUGACAAAGUCAUGAAGAUUAUACGUAUAUGAAAGAAGUGGCCAAUACGAAGCAUCAGCGAUCAUAUAUAAUUAUAUAGACGCCAAAAGUU
rnacentral:lncRNA from 1 species